rnacentral:rRNA from 1 species
AGAAAGCCACGGCUAACUACGUGCCAGCAGCCGCGGUAAUACGUAGGUGGCAAGCGUUGUCCGGAAUUAUUGGGCGUAAAGCGCGCGCAGGCGGUCCUUUAAGUCUGAUGUGAAAGCCCACGGCUCAACCGUGGAGGGUCAUUGGAAACUGGGGGACUUGAGUGCAGAAGAGGAAAGUGGAAUUCCAAGUGUAGCGGUGAAAUGCGUAGAGAUUUGGAGGAACACCAGUGGCGAAGGCGACUUUCUGGUCUGUAACUGACGUGAGGCGCGAAAGCGUGGGGAGCAAACAGGAUUAGAUACCCUGGUAGUCCACGCCGUAAACGAUGAGUGCUAAGUGUUAGGGGGUUUCCGCCCCUUAGUGCUGCAGCUAACGCAUUAAGCACUCCGCCUGGGGAGUACGGUCGCAAGGGUGAAACUCAAAGGAAU